rnacentral:rRNA from 1 species
GACGAACGCUGGCGGCGUGCUUAACACAUGCAAGUCGAACGGAAAGGCCCUGCUUUUGUGGGGUGCUCGAGUGGCGAACGGGUGAGUAACACGUGAGUAACCUGCCCUUGACUGUGGGAUAACUUCAGGAAACUGGGGAUAAUACCGGCUAGGAGCUCCUGCUGCAUGGUGGGGGUUGGAAAGUUUCGGCGGUUGGGGAUGGACUCGCGGCUUAUCAGCUUGUUGGUGGGGUAGUGGCUUACCAAGGCUUUGAUGGGUAGCCGGCCUGAGAGGGUGACCGGCCACAUUGGGACUGAGAUACGGCCCAGACUCCUACGGGAGGCAGCAGUGGGGAAUAUUGCACAAUGGGCGGAAGCCUGAUGCAGCAACGCCGCGUGCGGGAUGACGGCCUUCGGGUUGUAAACCGCUUUCGCCUGUGACGAAGCGUGAGUGACGGUAAUGGGUAAAGAAGCACCGGCUAACUACGUG